rnacentral:tRNA from 1 species
GCGGGUGUAGUUUAGUGGUAAAACCUCAGCCUUCCAAGCUGAUGUCGUGAGUUCCCUAACCUUUUGAUCCGUA